GUCAGUUUGUCCGAGUGGUUAAGGAGUUUGACUCGAAAUCAAAUAGGUUCUGCCUGCGCAGGUUCAAAUCCUGCAGCUGACG
rnacentral:tRNA from 1 species